UACGGAGGAUCCAAGCGUUAUCCGGAAUCAUUGGGUUUAAAGGGUCCGUAGGCGGUUUGGUAAGUCAGUGGUGAAAGCCCAUCGCUCAACGGUGGAACGGCCAUUGAUACUGCCAGACUUGAAUUAUUAGGAAGUAACUAGAAUAUGUAGUGUAGCGGUGAAAUGCUUAGAGAUUACAUGGAAUACCAAUUGCGAAGGCAGGUUACUACUAAUGGAUUGACGCUGAUGGACGAAAGCGG
rnacentral:rRNA from 1 species